ACUCUAGAUAAAAAAAAAAAAAAAAAAAAACCGCACACCAGAUCCCUCCAUUUCUCCUCUGCGUAUGCUUCUUCUUGGGGAAAACCCUAGACAAACACUACCUGUCUCCUCCUCAACUCCGAUGACCGGAGUAAACUCCGGCGAACAGCUGACACACACACCCUCAACUACUCUUCUCUCAUUUUUCUCAUUGUAGUGAAACCCUAACACAAACAACCACUGCCACUCCAUCUCCCUUCCCUCUCCCUCUCGUUCAAACACUGGCUGAUCUACACAUCUUUAGAUGCUCAUUAAGUCAAUGGAUCAUCAGAUUCUAACAAAUAAAGCGUUUUAAGAAAGUAUUAAUUUGGUUCGAGUCGGCGGCGGUUGUGGCUUAAGAAGAAUUCAGGUCAAAUCUUGACGGGUAUGGGUCAAAGUUGAGAUUGGUUAGAAAGGGAUCAUCAGGAGGGAGACUUGAAGGGCCAGGUCUUGAAGAAUUGAUUCAAUAGACGUGCUUUGAAUAAAUUAGAACACAUGUAGGAUUAUUCAGCAAUUUUGUAAAAUUCAUAGCUUAUGCUGUUGCUUAGUAGACGUUUGUAAAAGUUUGGAAUGUUUGGAUGAUGAUUAUACUUUUAAAUAAAGUGAUGAUAUUAUGAUUUCUACA